rnacentral:rRNA from 1 species
UGGCUCAGGACGAACGCUGGCGGCGUGCCUAAUACAUGCAAGUCGAACGAACUCUGGUAUUGAUUGGUGCUUGCAUCAUGAUUUACAUUUGAGUGAGUGGCGAACUGGUGAGUAACACGUGGGAAACCUGCCCAGAAGCGGGGGAUAACACCUGGAAACAGAUGCUAAUACCGCAUAACAACUUGGACCGCAUGGUCCGAGUUUGAAAGAUGGCUUCGGCUAUCACUUUUGGAUGGUCCCGCGGCGUAUUAGCUAGAUGGUGGGGUAACGGCUCACCAUGGCAAUGAUACGUAGCCGACCUGAGAGGGUAAUCGGCCACAUUGGGACUGAGACACGGCCCAAACUCCUACGGGAGGCAGCAGUAGGGAAUCUUCCACAAUGGACGAAAGUCUGAUGGAGCAACGCCGCGUGAGUGAAGAAGGGUUUCGGCUCGUAAAACUCUGUUGUUAAAGAAGAACAUAUCUGAGAGUAACUGUUCAGGUAUUGACGGUAUUUAACCAGAAAGCCACGGCUAACUACGUGCCAGCAGCCGCGGUAAUACGUAGGUGGCAAGCGUUGUCCGGAUUUAUUGGGCGUAAAGCGAGCGCAGGCGGUUUUUUAAGUCUGAUGUGAAAGCCUUCGGCUCAACCGAAGAAGUGCAUCGGAAACUGGGAAACUKRRGYRCAGAAGAGGACAGUGGAACUCCAUGUGUAGCGGUGAAAUGCGUAGAUAUAUGGAAGAACACCAGUGGCGAAGGCGGCUGUCUGGUCUGUAACUGACGCUGAGGCUCGAAAGUAUGGGUAGCAAACAGGAUUAGAUACCCUGGUAGUCCAUACCGUAAACGAUGAAUGCUAAGUGUUGGAGGGUUUCCGCCCUUCAGUGCUGCAGCUAACGCAUUAAGCAUUCCGCCUGGGGAGUACGGCCGCAAGGCUGAAACUCAAAGGAAUUGACGGGGGCCCGCACAAGCGGUGGAGCAUGUGGUUUAAUUCGAAGCUACGCGAAGAACCUUACCAGGUCUUGACAUACUAUGCAAAUCUAAGAGAUUAGACGUUCCCUUCGGGGACAUGGAUACAGGUGGUGCAUGGUGUCGUCAGCUCGUGUCGUGAGAUGUUGGGUUAAGUCCCGCAACGAGCGCAACCCUUAUUAUCAGUUGCCAGCAUUAAGUUGGGCACUCUGGUGAGACUGCCGGUGACAAACCGGAGGAAGGUGGGGAUGACGUCAAAUCAUCAUGCCCCUUAUGACCUGGGCUACACACGUGCUACAAUGGAUGGUACAACGAGUUGCGAACUCGCGAGAGUAAGCUAAUCUCUUAAAGCCAUUCUCAGUUCGGAUUGUAGGCUGCAACUCGCCUACAUGAAGUCGGAAUCGCUAGUAAUCGCGGAUCAGCAUGCCGCGGUGAAUACGUUCCCGGGCCUUGUACACACCGCCCGUCACACCAUGAGAGUUUGUAACACCCAAAGUCGGUGGGGUAACCUUUUAGGAACCAGCCGCCUAAG